UCCUUCAUAGCUCAGUGGUAAACAAUUUUUACUUCCUUCGUAAAAGUCAUGGGUUCGAAUGCCGUUGAAGUCUAGAU